CCCAUGUAUAUAACUAUUUUAGUUUUAAUUAGAAGCAUAUCAAUAGUUUCCAUUUUGUCAUGUCUGCUGCAUCUGGGAAUAGAGCAGAUGACCUGCAGCAGAUGAUCCAGGCCAUGGUAGACAACGUGUGCUGACCGAUGUCUCCAGACUGAGAGACCGCUGCACUGAAACAGCUGCCAGGCCACCUGUGGAGAGCAGCACAGCUGGGCACAUGAAGUGGAGUUCGUUGAAAAUGUAGCUCCAGCAGGCAGGAAAUGGAACAGAGGCUGGAAUGAAGUAAAAUAUUCCUCACUGUAUGAAAGAAAGGAGAUUGAAUAAUUUCUCACUUCAAUCGUUUUGCUCCAGAAUAUCAGUUAAGGUUUUAAGUGCACUUAUUGGAGGAAAGAAAAGGAAAAGAGUUUCAAAAGAUGAAAAACAAGAGAACUGUGUUCUAAGAAAAGAGGAAGUCAUAGGACACCUGGGUGGCUCAGUCAUUCAGUGACCAACUCUUGAUAUCAGCUCAUGAUCUCAGGUCAUGAUCUCCACGCUGUGCAUGGAGUGUGUUUAAGAUCCUCUCUCCUUCUGCCCUUCCUCCCUGCUUGCAUUCUCUCUCUCUCCCACUGGAAAAAAAAAAAAAAAAAAAGAAGGCAGGAAAACAUCACACUCUCACUGGGAAGGUUGUGCUCUUUUGUCCAUUAGGCUUUACCAUUGCUGAGGAGAAGUAAUUACAGAUAGGAACAGAAACCUAGUCCCUCUAAACAUCAACAUAACUCCAGGGGAAACUUCUCACCUCUCCUUCUCUUUUGAAACACCGAAUAGUUGUUUUAUUAAUGUGGUACUUUAUCCUUUCAAAAUAAUCACCACAGUUCAGAAUUUUAUUUUUAUUUAUUUAUUGUUGGUCUCUCCCACCACAAAGUAGGUUGCAUGACAGCAAGGAUGAUGCCUGUCUUAUUCACUGCUUCAUUCUCAGUGCGAGCCACAUCUAGCAAAGAGUUUGAAACAUAUGGUACACAUGAGUUAUGUCUUCUGUGUACUGAGAAAUCCAUCAUGAAAGGUUGAAAACCAAACAUGGAAUGAUUUUUAGUCUUAGCACUCAGGGCAAGGGCAGAAAGAAUGAGGAAAAUGACCUUAGCAAGGCAUCUCUGUGACUUCCUUGUCCUUUCUGCUUACAGGUUACUGUCUUAGUGUUGACAGUUAAGACAAAACCACCAUACACUGGGGUCUUAAAGAACAAUCAUUUAUUUCUCAAAGUUGUGGAGGAUGGAAAGUCUAAGUCCAAGGUGCCAUUGAUUCUGUGUCUGGUGAAAAUUCUCUUCCUGGUUUGCAGAUGGUCAUCUUCUCUUGUUCUCACGUGAUGAAGAGUAGAGAGGAAACAGUUUUCUCUUACCUCUUCAUCUAAGGGUGUUAACCCAUUAUGAGAACUCCACCCUCAUCACCUAAUUACCUCCCAAUACCUCCUAAUACCAACACUUUUAGGAUUAGGAUUUCAACAUAUGAGUUUUGGGAUGACAGAAAUAUUCAAUCCAUGACACGUAUGGAGUAAGUUUUAAAAUGUGACAGAAAAAAAAAAUAAAAUAAAAUGUGACAGUUGCUAACA
ensembl:lncRNA